rnacentral:rRNA from 1 species
AAGUAACGAUAAAGCGGGUGAAAAGCCCGCUCGCCGGAAGACCAAGGGUUCCUGUCCAACGUUAAUCGGGGCAGGGUGAGUCGACCCCUAAGGCGAGGCCGAAAGGCGUAGUCGAUGGGAAACAGGUUAAUAUUCCUGUACUUGGUGUUACUGCGAAGGGGGGACGGAGAAGGCUAUGUUAGCCGGGCGACGGUUGUCCCGGUUUAAGCAUGUAGGCUGAUUAUCCAGGCAAAUCCGGAUAAUCAAGGCUGAGGUGUGAUGACGAGGCACUACGGUGCUGAAGUAACAAAUGCCCUGCUUCCAGGAAAAGCCUCUAAGCAUCAGGUAACAUCAAAUCGUACCCCAAACCGACACAG